rnacentral:rRNA from 1 species
GAUGAACGCUGGCGGCGUGCCUAAUACAUGCAAGUCGAGCGAACGGACGAGAAGCUUGCUUUUCUGAUGUUAGCGGCGGACGGGUGAGUAACACGUGGAUAACCUACCUAUAAGACUGGGAUAACUUCGGGAAACCGGAGCUAAUACCGGAUAAUAUUUUGAACCGCAUGGUUCAAAAGUGAAAGACGGUUUUGCUGUCACUUAUAGAUGGAUCCGCGCUGCAUUAGCUAGUUGGUAAGGUAACGGCUUACCAAGGCAACGAUGCAUAGCCGACCUGAGAGGAUGAUCGGCCACACCGGAACUGAGACACGGUCCAGACUCCUACGGGAGGCAGCAGUAGGGAAUCUUCCGCAAUGGGCGAAAGCCUGACGGAGCAACGCCGCGUGAGUGAUGAAGGUCUUCGGAUCGUAAAACUCUGUUAUUAGGGAAGAACAUAUGUGUAAGUAACUGUGCACAUCUUGACGGUACCUAAUCAGAAAGCCACGGCUAACUACGUG